rnacentral:rRNA from 1 species
GUACUCGAGCGGCGAACGGGUGAGUAACACGUGAGCAACCUGCCCUAGGCUUUGGGAUAACCCCGGGAAACCGGGGCUAAUACCGAAUAGGACUGCUGGCCGCAUGGCUGGUGGUGGAAAGUUUUUCGGCCUGGGAUGGGCUCGCGGCCUAUCAGCUUGUUGGUGGGGUGAUGGCCUACCAAGGCGACGACGGGUAGCCGGCCUGAGAGGGCGACCGGCCACACUGGGACUGAGACACGGCCCAGACUCCUACGGGAGGCAGCAGUGGGGAAUAUUGCACAAUGGGCGGAAGCCUGAUGCAGCGACGCCGCGUGAGGGAUGACGGCCUUCGGGUUGUAAACCUCUUUCAGCAGGGACGAAGCGAAAGUGACGGUACCUGCAGAAGAAGCACCGGCCAACUACGUGCCAGCAGCCGCGGUAAGACGUAGGGUGCGAGCGUUGUCCGGAUUUAUUGGGCGUAAAGAGCUCGUAGGCGGCUUGUCGCGUCGACUGUGAAAACCCGCAGCUCAACUGCGGGCCUGCAGUCGAUACGGGCAGGCUAGAGUUCGGUAGGGGAGACUGGAAUUCCUGGUGUAGCGGUGAAAUGCGCAGAUAUCAGGAGGAACACCGAUGGCGAAGGCAGGUCUCUGGGCCGAUACUGACGCUGAGGAGCGAAAGCGUGGGGAGCGAACAGGAUUAGAUACCCUGGUAGUCCACGCUGUAAACGUUGGGCGCUAGGUGUG